GCGCGGCGAGAUGGGGACCCGGCGCGGGGAGUGAGGCGACGGCGGCGGCGGCGAGCGGAACUUCAGCCAGAGGGGCAUUCCGGCUUCCCCCUCUGGCUCGUCGGCCUCCACCUGCAGCCCGUCGGCCCCCGCGUCCCGCGGGACCGGGACGGCGCCGGCGGGGGCAUGUGGCGCUGGGUCCGGCAGCAGCUGGGUUUUGACCCACCACAUCAAAGUGACACAAGAACUAUUUACAUAGCCAACAGGUUUCCUCAGAAUGGCCUUUACACACCUCAGAAAUUUAUAGAUAACCGGAUCAUUUCAUCUAAGUAUACUGUAUGGAAUUUUGUUCCAAAAAAUUUAUUUGAACAAUUCAGAAGAGUGGCAAACUUUUAUUUUCUUAUUAUAUUUUUGGUUCAGCUUAUGAUUGAUACACCUACCAGUCCAAUCACCAGUGGACUUCCAUUAUUCUUUGUGAUAACAGUAACUGCCAUAAAGCAGGGAUAUGAAGAUUGGUUACGACAUAACUCAGAUAAUGAAGUAAAUGGAGCUCCUGUUUAUGUUGUUCGAAGUGGUGGCCUUGUAAAAACUAGAUCAAAAAACAUACGGGUGGGUGAUAUUGUUCGAAUAGCCAAAGAUGAAAUUUUCCCUGCAGAUUUGGUGCUUCUGUCCUCAGAUCGACUUGAUGGUUCUUGUCACGUUACGACUGCUAGUUUGGAUGGAGAAACUAACUUGAAGACCCACGUGGCAGUUCCAGAAACAGCAGUAUUACAAACAGUUGCCAGUUUGGACACCCUCAUAGCUGUGAUAGAAUGUCAGCAACCAGAAGCAGACUUGUAUAGAUUCAUGGGACGAAUGAUAAUAACUCAACAAAUGGAAGAGAUUGUAAGACCUCUGGGGCCAGAGAGUCUCUUGCUUCGUGGAGCCAGGUUAAAAAAUACAAAAGAAAUUUUUGGAGUUGCUAUCUACACGGGAAUGGAAACUAAGAUGGCAUUAAAUUACAAGAGCAAGUCACAGAAACGAUCUGCGGUAGAAAAGUCAAUGAAUACAUUUUUGAUAAUUUAUCUAAUAAUCCUCAUUUCGGAAGCCAUCAUCAGUACUAUCUUGAAAUAUACAUGGGAAGCUGAAGAAAAAUGGGAUGAACCUUGGUAUAACCAAAAAACAGAACAUCAAAGAAAUAGUAGUAAGAUUCUGAGGUUCAUUUCAGACUUCCUUGCUUUUUUGGUACUCUACAAUUUCAUCAUUCCAAUUUCAUUAUAUGUAACAGUUGAAAUGCAGAAAUUUCUUGGAUCAUUUUUUAUUGGCUGGGAUCUUGAUCUGUAUCAUGAAGAAUCAGGCCAGAAAGCUCAAGUCAAUACUUCUGAUCUGAAUGAAGAGCUUGGACAGGUGGAGUAUGUGUUUACAGAUAAAACUGGUACACUGACAGAAAAUGAGAUGCAGUUUCGGGAAUGUUCAAUUAAUGGCAUAAAAUACCAAGAAAUCAAUGGUAGACUUGUAUCUGAAGGACCAACACCAGACUCUUCAGAAGGAAGCUUAUCUUAUCUCAACAGUUUAUCCCAUCUUAACAACUUAUCCCAUCUUACAACCAGUUCUUUUAGAACCAGUCCUGAAAAUGAAACUGAACUCAUUAAGGAACACAAUCUCUUCUUUAAAGCAGUCAGUCUCUGUCACACUGUCCAGAUUAGCAAUGUUCAGACUGAUGGCAUUGGUGAUGGUCCUUGGCAGUCCAACUUUGCACCCUCCCAGUUGGAGUACUAUGCAUCUUCUCCAGAUGAAAAGGCUCUAGUGGAAGCUGCUGCAAGAAUCGGCAUCGUAUUUGUUGGCAAUUCUGAAGAAACUAUGGAAGUUAAAACACUUGGAAAACUGGAACGGUACAAACUGCUUCAUAUUCUCGAAUUUGAUUCAGAUCGUAGAAGGAUGAGUGUAAUUGUUCAGGCACCUUCAGGUGAGAAGCUUUUAUUUGCUAAAGGAGCUGAAUCAUCAAUUCUUCCUAAAUGUGUAGGUGGAGAAAUAGAAAAAACCAGAAUUCAUGUGGAUGAAUUUGCUUUGAAAGGACUAAGAACUCUGUGUAUGGCCUAUAAACAGUUGACAUCUAAAGAGUAUGAGGAAAUAGACAGACGUCUGUUUGAAGCCAGGACUGCCCUACAACAACGGGAAGAGAAAUUGGCAGAUGUCUUCCAGUUCAUAGAGAAAGACCUGAUAUUACUUGGAGCUACAGCAGUGGAAGACAGGCUACAAGAUAGAGUUCGAGAAACUAUUGAAGCAUUGAGAAUGGCUGGUAUCAAAGUAUGGGUACUAACUGGUGAUAAACAUGAAACAGCUGUUAGUGUGAGUUUAUCAUGCGGACAUUUUCACAGAACCAUGAAUAUUCUUGAACUUAUAAAUCAGAAAUCAGACAGCGAGUGUGCUGAACAAUUGAGGCAGCUUGCCAGAAGAAUUACAGAGGAUCAUGUGAUUCAGCACGGGCUGGUGGUGGAUGGGACCAGCCUGUCUCUUGCACUCAGGGAACAUGAAAAACUGUUCAUGGAAGUUUGUAGGAAUUGUUCCGCUGUAUUGUGCUGUCGUAUGGCACCACUGCAAAAAGCAAAGGUGAUAAGACUGAUAAAAAUCUCACCUGAGAAACCUAUAACACUGGCUGUUGGUGAUGGUGCUAAUGAUGUAAGCAUGAUACAAGAAGCACAUGUUGGCAUAGGAAUCAUGGGUAAAGAAGGAAGACAAGCUGCAAGAAACAGUGACUAUGCAAUAGCUAGAUUUAAAUUCCUCUCCAAAUUGCUUUUUGUUCAUGGUCAUUAUUAUUAUAUUAGAAUAGCUACCCUUGUACAGUAUUUUUUUUAUAAGAAUGUGUGCUUUAUCACACCCCAAUUUUUAUAUCAGUUCUACUGUUUGUUUUCUCAACAAACACUGUAUGACAGCGUGUACCUGACUUUAUACAAUAUUUGUUUUACUUCCCUACCUAUUCUGAUAUAUAGUCUAUUGGAACAGCAUAUAGAUCCUCAUGUACUACAGAGCAAGCCCACCCUCUAUCGAGACAUUAGUAAAAACCGUCAACUAAGCAUUAAGACAUUUCUUUAUUGGACCAUCCUGGGUUUCAGUCAUGCCUUUAUUUUCUUUUUUGGAUCCUAUUUCCUAAUAGGAAAAGAUAUAUCUCUGCUUGGAAAUGGCCAGAUGUUUGGAAACUGGACAUUUGGCACUUUGGUUUUCACAGUCAUGGUUAUUACAGUCACAGUAAAGAUGGCUUUGGAAACUCAUUUUUGGACCUGGAUCAACCAUCUUGUUACCUGGGGAUCUAUUGUAUUCUAUUUUAUAUUUUCUUUGUUUUAUGGAGGGAUUCUAUGGCCAUUUUUAGGCUCCCAGAAUAUGUACUUUGUAUUUAUUCAGCUCCUAUCAAGUGGUUCUGCUUGGUUUGCCAUAAUAAUCAUGGUUGUUACAUGUCUAUUUCUUGAUAUUGUGAAGAAAGUAUUUGACCGACAGCUCCAUCCUACAAAUACUGAGAAGGCUCAGCUUACUGAAACAAAUUCAAGUAUCAAGUGCUUGGACUCCAUGUGCUGUUUCUCAGAAGGAGAAACAGCGUGCGCAUCUGUUGGAAGAAUGCUGGAACGAGUAGUAGGAAGAUGUAGUCCAACUCAUGUCAGCAGGUGUGAAAUUUCUCUAAGUAGCCUUUGCUGCAGAUGAGUGUCCUAUAAACUGGAACAGAAUGAACCUGCAUCUCUAGAUACCUAAUAAAUCAGCAGCUGAUUUGACCAACUAAAGCAGGAGAUCUUGGAGUGCAUCGGAUCCUUUCUAUACCAACGACAGGAGCAUCUUGACUCUCUCCACAAUGGACUCAUCUACUUGUUAAAGGGGCAGUAGUACUUUGUGGGAACCAUUUCAACUCCUUUCCUAAAAUUCAGUGUGAUCAUCCUGUAAUGGCCACACUAGUUCUGCAGAAUUACUUUCUGAAAUUUCUGAAGUAUUUCAUACCCACUCAGAGUUACAAUGGCAAACAAAUAAAAAGCAUUAACAUAAACCCCUUUCAACCCAUUUAAUUUAAAUCCAAACAUGUUAGAAUUUGUGAAAGAGACGUUUUCCACCUCUGGGUUGUCCCUCAUGCUUAUGUGGGACUCCUAAUGGCAUUUCAGCCUCUUCCUAAGGCCAUUGUAUUUUAAUAUCAAGGUAGAAAAGGGAGGUAAUUCCUAGUUAAUUGUAUUUUUUAGUGUUAGCUUGGUUAUUCAGUCUUCUAUUCAAAUCUGCUUCUGUAAAGUAUGCUAAAAAGUUUGCCUUGAAAAAACUCUAUUUUUUUAUUAGAGUUAUAUUUGAAGCUUUUCAUGCGAAAAGUUAAUGUGAAUAGAAAGGAAUUUUGGUCCCUCAUGACCCAUGUUGUUAAUUCUUCAGUGCUUUCUAAGUUCACAGAGCAAAUUAGGAGAAUGCAUUUCCUAUCAUUAUUUACUGCAUUGUGGGUAGUAAAUAUAAACCAGUACCAAACUUCUCUAAAUACUGUAACACAACCAGUAAAAUUAACCAUAUACAUACAAAGGGUGUAUUAUAUAUAUAAAUCAGGAAUCAAGUCCAUUCACCAAAUUUCAAAUUGAUGUUUACUAAUAUUUUUGUGACAGAAUAUAAAGAACCUAUUGUGGGUAAAUUACAUACCAUUAGCAUAUUAUUAUUUAAUGUGUUUAUCAUUGGAUCUUUUGCAUGCUUUAAUCUGGUUAAUAUAUUUAAAUUUGUUUUUUUUUCCUCUAUCUGAAGGCUCUGUUUAUAGUAUUUUAUGACACUGUUGUAAAGUUCAACUAUAUCAAUAAAAAGUUUGGACAGUAUUUAAGUAUUGCAAAUAUUUUUAAUUAUACAAAAUCAGAAUAUUAGGGUAAUUAAAUCAAAAAGAUAAGAGCCUCUUUCUGUAGCUAAUUUAGACUUGCUCUUGCCUUUCAGUAAGCUAGAAUUUAGAAUAAAGGAUUUUAGAUAAGAAUCCUAUUAUUUUUAGGUUAGUAUAUUUCAUCUAAGUUAUAGUAGACUACCACAAUAAAGUGAAACCUAUCCAGUGUCCCAUUAAAAGGAAUAUUUUAAGGCGUGGCUACAGGAUGUAAAUGACACAAAGUUUAAAAUGCUAAAUCAUAGGGGGUAAUGGCAGCAAUAAAUUAAACUGCUAAGAAUGAUUAAUCAGGUACAUAUUGCUGAUUGGCUCAUUGUACUUCAGUACUUAAUUUCAAUCUUGAGUUUAUCAUCUGAUCAGUGUUGUCAUUUGUUUUGAUAAAAAGUAAUAUUUUAAAUUGGCAAUGAUUAUUGGUUAUUAAAGAACUUAUCCAGCUCUAAGUAUAUGAUUGUGUACAUAUUUGUUUAAGAUUGUAUGGAAAUGGCUAAAUAAGUUUUUCCAAAAUUUUCUCUCAAGAAUAUAAUUCCUUUCUGUGGAUUUAUUUGGCAUCUUUCCACUCCUUUCCCAUCUCAUGAAUAUAAGACUUCUAGAAUUGGGCUGGUAGGGAAAGAAUGUAAAGUCAAGAAUUAAGACUUUGCUGGUAAACUUUUUUUUUUAAGUUUUUAUUUUCUUGCUACUGUGUUUCAAUAAUGCAAGGAUAUUAGGUUAUGAAUUUCAGCUUUUAAGUGUUCAUUUUCAUUAAUAGCCUUUUUUUUUUUUUAACUGAAAUAUUCCAAAGUUGAGUUUAGGAAUAUACUGUGAUUCUGGCAAUACAUUAAAGGGAUACUACAAUGUAAAAUGUACACACCAAUUCAUAUUCUGGAAGAGGAAAUACUGUAGAAAAUACUCAAUUAGGGUAGUUUAGUGGAAGUUAACUCAGAGUUUAUUUUUUCUGAGAAUGUCUUGUAAAAUAUUUAUAUAACAAAAUAACAUGUCGUAGUCCUGCUUACAGGACUUACAUCUACCUUACAGCUUACAGUGUGUGUUUACCAUAAACCAAACUCACCACUGGCACUAGAGAAGGACUACAAAGCCAUCAAGCAGUCUCUGACCAGCUGCAGCAAUGGAGGUCAACUAGCCUAUAUGGUGCUGAAGGUGUGAUUGAUAUAAUUGUCUGCAUUCACUCUUUGAAGUUAUUUAAGAACUUUAUGUCCAAAAAAAAAAAAAAAAAAAAGUGACAUCCACUGAUAGGCUCAUCCUACUCUGUUGAAAAUCUCUUUUUUAAAGGAAAAUUAUAAGGAAAGAGCUUUUUUCAUUUUACUUAAGAAAGUAACUUGUCUGUGAGCUUUAAAUAGUUUUCUAGUGCUAAUGCUCAUAUUUUUAAGGCUUUAUUACAUAUCCAGUAAUCCAAAAAAUUCCCUUUUGCAUAUUUCUUUAGUUUUUUGGAAAGUAUGACGUCAGCAAUUAACUUACUCUUAAACCUGCCAAAACCAGAGUAAGAUGCUUCAUGUGUUUUUACUAAUUAAUGGUCUCAAAUCUAUUUGCCUCACUUUCUUAUGUUUACCUACCUAGUCUGAAGGCUAUAGCCCUAAAGAUAGUAGCAAGCACCAAGAUGGUUUUCAAAAUCGUUCAUCAGCUGCUUUAAAAGAUAACUCAGCACCCUGCCUCAGCUUUAGCAAGCAGUAAUCUCAUGAUAGGAGGAUUACAGUACGGGCCAGGAGAACGACAGCUACAAAGCUUGCCUUGGAGUUGAGAAGAAAGAAGGGGAGAAUUUACAAUUUGAAUUUCUCUUAACUACCCACCUCCUUGGGUCUCAAUCUCCAUGAUAUCCAGAGGCUUUCCAGACCCAAUCCAAACUCUGGCACUGUCCCGAGUAGGAAAUUAAAUACCGAGGCAAAUCACAUUAGGAGACUCCUUUACUCAGACAGGUUGUUUCUGCUGUAAGAUUGUGAAUUGUGAAAUUGGGCUUGGGAGAAGCUUGAGACUCCUGUCUGAUAGGCAGAAGUCAAAGCCACUAAAAAAAAAUUUACAAUUAAUAUGAAAAAAAUUUUAAAUAUGCUACUCUGAAAAAUUAUUGAGGGCAGGGGGAAAGGGAAAAUCAUCCAUGUUUGUGUUUUCCUGUAAAGAUCAUGUUUGGGGUAUGAUAUAAGCAGAUAUUCAUAAAAAAAAAACACCAAAGAGUUAUGUAAAACAUGGUUUAUUAAUUUUGGUCCUGCUUCUGAAACACUUUUAUUUCUAACUUGAAAUGAGUCAUCUAUUUUCAUAAAAAUAGAACAUUAUUAAAGUGCUGUUUAUGUGAGAACAUUUGAGUGAUUUUCAUACAAAAAAAUAGAUCAUAACUAGUGAUAUGUUUGUAGUAAUGGUGAUUGUUAGAUUUUUAUGGGAAAUAAGUAGUUGGAAGUACUGUAGCAACACUUAGUUUAAAAGUUUAAAAUCGAGGACCUCAGACACUGUGGCUGUCUAAUAAAAUCCUUUAAAAUUUCUUUGCAUUGUCAGUAAAUGUAGUUAUUGUAUAGCUCUCAGUAAUUUUUUAAAGUUUAUGAAAUUAUAUUUAUUGAAUAAAAAUUUUCCUACAUAA